rnacentral:rRNA from 1 species
UACAGAGGGUGCAAGCGUUGUUCGGAAUUAUUGGGCGUAAAGGGCGCGUAGGCGGUGCCACAAGUCACCUGUGAAAUCUCCGGGCUUAACUCGGAGCCUGCAGGCGAAACUGUGGUGCUGGAGUGUGGGAGAGGUGCGUGGAAUUCCCGGUGUAGCGGUGAAAUGCGUAGAUAUCGGGAGGAGCACCGGUGGCGAAGGCGGCUCUCUGGACCACUACUGACGCUGAGGCGCGAAAGCUAGGGGAGCAAACAGG